ensembl:misc_RNA
UUCUCCAACCUUGCUUCCCUUCUCCCUUGUCAAUGUGGGGAAACAGGAAGGAAUGUUUAUUAACAAGGCCAUUUGGGGUCACACCCAAGGCGAUAUCAGACUUUUACGUCUCUUAGGCCUUGGAAGAGGUUCAAGGAUCAAGGCCAGCCU